UGCUUCUGCUCCAAGAAGAAGGAUGAUGAUUGGCCCUGAAAUGCCCUCAGCUGAGUUACUUGCUGCUGCAGCAAAAUUAACAGAAGCACAAGCUAACCUGAGAGAAGCUGAGUUGGAAGAAGAUACUGAACUUUUUAUAGGACCUGCCCCACCUGCUAUGGUUGCUGAAGCUGAAUCUGCAAAUGAGGCAGAGCGUUUUGAAGAGGUGACGAGAAUAAUGGGUGUUGAAGGUGAUUCUUCAUAUGAUGUUGUAGGAGCGAAUCAUAAUACCUCUGCUGAAAAUAUAAAGAAGAGGUACUGGAAGCUGUCUCUUUUGGUGCAUCCAGAUAAGUGUUCUCAUCCUCAAGCCCACCAAGCAUUUAUCAAAUUGAAUAAAGCAUUUAAAGAGUUACAAGAUCCAGAUAAGCGAAAAUUGCUGGAUGAGAAAAUUAAACUCAAGGAGGAAGAGGAACAGUUUAAGGUUGAGUUGAAAGCCAUGCGUGAAGCUGCACAGUGGAGAAGAUCACAAGGUAUAUCAAUGGAGGGUGAUGAUGAGCUCCUGGCAGAAAUUGAAGUUAAAGUGGCCCCAAAAAGAGAUGAAUGGAUGACAACAUUGCCUCCUGAAAGGAAACCAGGCAUGACCAUGCAAUCUUCAAGAUUCGGCAAGAGUUCUAGAGAAGGACGUGGUGACACUAGCGUUUGGACAGAUACCCCUUCAGACAGAGCCCAAAAGGCCAAGAUGAAUUACUUGGAAGCAUAUAAUGAGGCUGCUGCACUUGCUUCAAAUGAAGAAGAAAAGAAAAGGACAAGUGCAGAUGCAGAUUUGGUGGACAAAUACAAUAAAGCAAAACGAUCAAAAUCUUUGGUACAAAAGCACCAAGAAGAGGCUGCAAGUCGUUCGAAGAAAAAAUCCAAGCAGCAACCAGAGAAGGAAGAGUGGGCGGGGCAACACCCGUGGAAGCCUUGGGAUCGUGAGAAGGAUCUCGUAGCUGGAAGGCG
rnacentral:misc_RNA from 1 species